UCUUCUAGGCCCGACCUCCCAACCCUAUGUUUAUUGAACCUCUGUUGCUUCGGCGGACCCGUCUCACGGCCGCCGGAGGACCGCUGCAAGGCGUCCUCUGGCCAGCGCCCGCCGAUGGCCAACCACUUAAACUCUGAAUGAAUCGUGUCAUAUGUCUAAGUCUAUGAUUAAAUUAAAGCAAAACUUUCAACAACGGAUCUCUUGGUUCUGGCAUCGAUGAAGAACGCAGCGAAAUGCGAUAAGUAAUGCGAAUUGCAGAAUUCCAGUGAGUCAUCGAAUCUUUGAACGCACAUUGCGCCCUUUGGUAUUCCGAAGGGCAUGCCUGUUCGAGCGUCAUUAUCACCCCUCAAGCCCUGUGCUUGGUGUUGGACGGCCGGUCGAGCGAUCGACCCCUCCUAAAGACAAUGACGGCGGCCUGUGGUUCCCCCGGUACACUGAGCUUUUAACUGAGCACGUAUCGGACAAGGGCACCCGGGACCCGGUCCUCUCCUUUAACUAGGAAACUUCUAAGGUUGACCUCGGAUCAGGUAG
rnacentral:rRNA from 1 species